UAAUACGGAGGGUGCGAGCGUUAUCCGGAAUCACUGGGUUUAAAGGGUGCGCAGGCGGCGCGGUAAGUCAGUUGUGAAAUCCCCCGGCUCAACCGGUGGGACUGCGAUUGAUACUGUCGCGCUUGAAUCGGGUUGAGGCAGGCGGAAUGUGGCAUGUAGCGGUGAAAUGCUUAGAUAUGCCAUAGAACACCGAUUGCGAAGGCAGCUUGCUGGGCCCGUAUUGACGCUGAGGCACGAAAGCGUGGGGAGCAAACAGGAUUAGAUACCCUGGUAGUCCACGCCCUAAACGAUGCUCACUUGCUGUUUGCCCCUUGGGGUGAGUGGCGUAGCGAAAGCGAUAAGUGAGCCACCUGGGGAGUACGCCGGCAACGGUG
rnacentral:rRNA from 1 species